CUGAGUACGGCGGAACACGUGAAAUUCCGUCGGAAUCCGGGAGGACCAUCUCCCAAGGCUAAAUACUCCCUAGUGACCGAUAGUGAACCAGUACCGUGAGGGAAAGGUGAAAAGCACCCCGGAAGGGGAGUGAAACAGUUCCUGAAACCGUGUGCCUACAAGUAGUUAGAGCCCGUUAAUGGGUGAUAGCGUGCCUUUUGUAGAAUGAACCGGCGAGUUACGAUUUGUUGCAAGGUUAAGCGGAAAAAGCGGAGCCGUAGCGAAAGCGAGUCUGAAUAGGGCGCAUAAGUAACAGGUCGUAGACCCGAAACCAGGUGAUCUACCCAUGUCCAGGAUGAAGGUAAGGUAAUACUUACUGGAGGUCCGAACCCACGCACGUUGAAAAGUGCGGGGAUGAGGUGUGGGUAGCGGAGAAAUUCCAAUCGAACUUGGAGAUAGCUGGUUCUCUCCGAAAUAGCUUUAGGGCUAGCCUCGAGGUAAAGAGUCAUGGAGGUAGAGCACUGUUUGGACUAGGGGCCCUUCUCGGGUUACCGAAUUCAGAUAAACUCCGAAUGCCAUGUACUUAUACUCGGGAGUCAGACUGCGAGUGAUAAGAUCCGUAGUCGAAAGGGAAACAGCCCAGACCACCAGUUAAGGUCCCCAAAUAUAUGUUAAGUGGAAAAGGAUGUGGGGUUGCUUAGACAACCAGGAUGUUGGCUUAGAAGCAGCCACCAUUGAAAGAGUGCGUAAUAGCUCACUGGUCGAGUGACCCCGCGCCGAAAAUGUACCGGGGCUAAACAUAUUACCGAAACUGUGGAUGAACCUCUUUAGAGGUUCGUGGUAGGAGAGCGUUCUAAGGGCGGUGAAGUCAGACCGGAAGGACUGGUGGAGCGCUUAGAAGUGAGAAUGCCGGUAUGAGUAGCGAAAGAAGGGUGAGAAUCCCUUCCACCGAAUAUCUAAGGUUUCCUGAGGAAGGCUCGUCCGCUCAGGGUUAGUCGGGACCUAAGCCGAGGCCGAUAGGCGUAGGCGAUGGACAACAGGUAGAGAUUCCUGUACCAGUGCUAAUUGUUUAACCGAUGGGGUGACACAGAAGGAUAGGGAAUCGCACGAAUGGAAAUGUGCGUCCAAGCAGUGAGUGUGAGAAGUAGGCAAAUCCGCUUCUCGCGAAGCAUGAGCUGUGAUGGGGAAGGAAAUUAAGUACGGAAGUUCCUGAUUUCACGCUGUCAAGAAAAGCCUCUAGGAAGAGUAGUACUGCCCGUACCGCAAACCGACACAGGUAGAUGAGGAGAGAAUCCUAAGGUGAGCGAGAGAACUCUCGUUAAGGAACUCGGCAAAAUGACCCCGUAACUUCGGGAGAAGGGGUGCUCUAUUAGGGUGCAAGCCCGAGAGAGCCGCAGUGAAUAGGCCCAGGCGACUGUUUAGCAAAAACACAGGUCUCUGCAAAACCGUAAGGUGACGUAUAGGGGCUGACGCCUGCCCGGUGCUGGAAGGUUAAGAGGAGUGCUUAGCUUCGGCGAAGGUACGAAUUGAAGCCCCAGUAAACGGCGGCCGUAACUAUAACGGUCCUAAGGUAGCGAAAUUCCUUGUCGGGUAAGUUCCGACCCGCACGAAAGGCGCAACGAUCUGGGCACUGUCUCAACGAGAGACUCGGUGAAAUUAUAGUACCUGUGAAGAUGCAGGUUACCCGCGACAGGACGGAAAGACCCCGUGGAGCUUUACUGCAACCUGAUAUGGAAUGUUUGUACCGCUUGUACAGGAUAGGUAGGAGCCGAAGAGACGUGUGCGCUAGCAUACGAGGAGGCAAUGGUGGGAUACUACCCUGGCUGUAUGACCAUUCUAACCCGCCACGCUUAGCGCGUGGGGAGACAGUGUCAGGUGGGCAGUUUGACUGGGGCGGUCGCCUCCUAAAGAGUAACGGAGGCGCCCAAAGGUUCCCUCAGAAUGGAUGGAAAUCAUUCGCAGAGUGUAAAGGCACAAGGGAGCUUGACUGCGAGACUGACAAGUCGAGCAGGGACGAAAGUCGGGCUUAGUGAUCCGGUGGUUCCGCAUGGAAGGGCCAUCGCUCAACGGAUAAAAGCUACCCCGGGGAUAACAGGCUUAUCUCCCCCAAGAGUCCACAUCGACGGGGAGGUUUGGCACCUCGAUGUCGGCUCGUCGCAUCCUGGGGCUGUAGUCGGUCCCAAGGGUUGGGCUGUUCGCCCAUUAAAGCGGCACGCGAGCUGGGUUCAGAACGUCGUGAGACAGUUCGGUCCCUAUCCGUCGCGGGCGCAGGAAAUUUGAGAGGAGCUGUCCUUAGUACGAGAGGACCGGGAUGGACACACCGCUGGUGUACCAGUUGUUCCGCCAGGAGCAUCGCUGGGUAGCUAUGUG
rnacentral:rRNA from 1 species